rnacentral:tRNA from 1 species
GGAUUACAGCUCAGUAGUAGAGUGAGUGCUUAGCAUGCACAAGGUCCUGGGUUCAAUCCCCAGUUCCUCCA